rnacentral:rRNA from 1 species
AGUGAACGCUGGCGGUAGGCCUAACACAUGCAAGUCGAACGGCAGCACAGUAAGAGCUUGCUCUUACGGGUGGCGAGUGGCGGACGGGUGAGGAAUACAUCGGAAUCUACUUUUUCGUGGGGGAUAACGUAGGGAAACUUACGCUAAUACCGCAUACGACCUACGGGUGAAAGCAGGGGAUCUUCGGACCUUGCGCGAUUGAAUGAGCCGAUGUCGGAUUAGCUAGUUGGCGGGGUAAAGGCCCACCAAGGCGACGAUCCGUAGCUGGUCUGAGAGGAUGAUAAGCCACACUGGAACUGGAACACGGUCCAGAAUCCUACGGGAGGGAGCAGGGGGGAAUAUUGGACAAUUGGGGGAAGCCUGAUCCAGCCAUAACGCGUGGGUUAAGAAAGCCUUCCGGUUGUAAAACCCUUUUGUUGGGAAAGAAAAGCAGCAGGUUAAUACCCCGCUGUUCUGACGGUACCCAAAGAAUAAGCACCGGCUAACUUCGUG